rnacentral:rRNA from 1 species
AUUGAACGCUGGCGGCAUGCCUUACACAUGCGAGUCGAACGGUAACGGGCCUUCGGGUGCCGACGAGUGGCGAACGGGUGAGUAAUACAUCGGAACGUGCCCGAUCGUGGGGGAUAACGAGGCGAAAGCUUUGCUAAUACCGCAUACGAUCUACGGAUGAAAGCAGGGGACCGCAAGGCCUUGCGCGGACGGAGCGGCCGAUGGCAGAUUAGGUAGUUGGUGGGAUAAAAGCUUACCAAGCCGACGAUCUGUAGCUGGUCUGAGAGGAUGAUCAGCCACACUGGGACGGAGACACGGCCCAGACCCCUAGGGGAGGCAGCAGUGGGGAAUUUUGGACAAUGGGCGCAAGCCUGAUCCAGCCAUGCCGCGUGCAGGAUGAAGGCCUUCGGGUUGUAAACUGCUUUUGUACGGAACGAAAAGCCUUCUUUUAAAACAGGAGGGUCAUGACGGUACCGUAAGAAAAAGCACCGGCUAACUACGU